rnacentral:rRNA from 1 species
CCUACGGGAGGCAGCAGUGAGGAAUAUUGGUCAAUGGACGAGAGUCUGAACCAGCCAAGUAGCGUGAAGGAUGACUGCCCUAUGGGUUGUAAACUUCUUUUAUAAAGGAAUAAAACGAGGCACGUGUGCCUUUUUGCAUGUACUUUAUGAAUAAGGAUCGGCUUACUCCGUGCCAGCAGCCGCGGUAAUACGGAGGAUCCGAGCGUUUUCCGGGUGUAUUGGGUUUAAAGGGAGCGUAGUUGGGUUGUUAAGUGAGGUGUGAAAGUUUGCGGGUCAACCGUAAAAUUGCAAUUGAUACUGGCAGUCUUGAGUACAGUUGUGGUAGGCGGAAUUCGUGGUGUAGCGGUGAAAUGCUUAGAUAUCACGAAGAACCCCGAUUGCGAAGGCAGCUUACUAACCUGUGACUGACAUUGAUGCUCGAAAGUGUGGGUAUCAAACAGGAUUAGAUACCCCAGUAGUC